UACGUAGGAGGCAAGCGUUGUCCGGAAUUACUGGGUGUAAAGCGCGUGUAGGCGGCAGGCCAAGUCUGUGGUGAAAGCCCCCGGCUCAACUGGGGAGGGUCAUUCGAUACUGAUCGACUCGAAGGCAGGAGAGGGUAGUGGAAUUCCCGGUGUAGUGGUGAAAUGCGUAGAUAUCGGGAGGAACACCAGUGGCGAAGGCGACUACCUGGCCUGUUCUUGACGCUGAGGCGCGAAAGCUAGGGGAGCAAACGGG
rnacentral:rRNA from 1 species